rnacentral:rRNA from 1 species
GCAUAUCAAUAAGCGGAGGAAAAGAAACUAACAAGGAUUCCCCUAGUAGCGGCGAGCGAACCGGGAAGAGCUCAAAUUUGAAAUCUGGCGUCCUUCGGGCGUCCGAGUUGUAAUCUACAGAAGUGUUUUCCGUGCUGGACCGUGUCCAAGUCCCUUGGAAUAGGGUAUCAAAGAGGGUGAUAAUCCCGUACUUGACACGACGACCAGUGCUCUGUGAUACACUUUCUACGAGUCGAGUUGUUUGGGAAUGCAGCUCAAAAUGGGUGGUAAAUUCCAUCUAAAGCUAAAUAUAGGCGAGAGACCGAUAGCGAACAAGUACCGUGAGGGAAAGAUGAAAAGCACUUUGGAAAGAGAGUUAAACAGUACGUGAAAUUGUUGAAAGGGAAACGAUUGAAGUCAGUCAUGUCUAUUGGUUUCAGCUGGCUCUGCCAGUGUAUUACCUUUAGACGGGUCAACAUCAGUUUUGGACGGUGGAAAAAGGCAUGGGGAACGUAGCACCCUUCGGGGUGUGUUAUAGACCCGUGUUGCAUACACUGUCCGAGACUGAGGAAUGCAGCUCGCCUUUAUGGCCGGGAUUCGUCCCACGUACGAGCUUAGG